AGGGUUUGAUCCUGGCUCAGAACGAACGUUGGCGGCGUGGAUUAGGCAUGCAAGUCGAACGAAUCCCCUUGUAGCAAUAUGAGGGGGGAAGUGGCGAAAGGGGCAGUAAGGCGUAGGUAACCUACCCUGGGGACGGGGAUAGCCCUUCUAACGAGGGGGUAAUACCCGGCGACGUAUCGAGGGGGCCUCUCCUUGAUACCAAACGAAUUUCGCCCUGGGCGGGGCUUAUGUGGUAUUAGCUAGUUGGUAGGGUAACGGCCUACCAAGGCCAAGAUGCCUAGCGGGUGUGCGAGCACGACCCGCGCCACUGGCACUGGGACACUGGCCAGACUCCUACGGGAGGCUGCAGUCGAGGAUCUUCGGCAAUGGGCGCAAGCCUGACCGAGCGACGCCGCGUGUGCGAUGAAGGCCUUCGGGUUGUAAAGCACUGUCGAGGGGGAUCAACGGGCAACCUUGAGAGAUCCCUGGAGGAAGCACGGGCUAAGUUCGUGCCAGCAGCCGCGGUAAGACGAACCGUGCGAACGUUGUUCGGAAUCACUGGGCUUAAAGGGCGCGUAGGCGGGUCCCCAAGUCUGUGGUGAAAUCCUCCCGCCCAACGGGAGAAGGGCCGCGGAUACUGGGGGUCUCGAGGGGGGUAGGGGCAUGCGGAACUUCCGGUGGAGCGGUGAAAUGCGUAGAUAUCGGAAGGAACGCCGGUGGCGAAAGCGGCGUGCUGGACCCUUUCUGACGCUGAGGCGCGAAAGCCAGGGGAGCAGACGGGAUUAGAUACCCCGGUAGUCCUGGCCCUAAACGAUGGGUACUAGAUUGCGGACUGAACAUGGGUUCGCAGUCGGAGCAAAAGUGUUAAGUACCCCGCCUGGGGAGUAUGGUCGCAAGGCUGAAACUCAAAGGAAUUGACGGGGGCCCACACAAGCGGUGGAGCAUGUGGCUUAAUUCGAGGCUACGCGAAGAACCUUAUCCUGGGCUUGACAUGUCCGAAAGGGGUGGGGAGUACCCAGCGGAAACGUAUGGGGAACGGUAUCCAGUCCGGAGCCUACCACAGGUGCUGCAUGGCUGUCGUCAGCUCGUGUCGUGAGAUGUCGGGUUAAGUCCCAUAACGAGCGAAACCCUUGUUUCCAGUUGCCAGCGGGUCAAGCCGGGGACUCUGGAAAGACUGCCGGUGUUAAACCGGAGGAAGGUGGGGAUGACGUCAAGUCCUCAUGGCCUUUAUGCCCAGGGCUGCACACGUGCUACAAUGGCGCACACAAAGGGAAGCCAACGCGCGAGCGGGAGCAAAUCCCAAAAAAUGCGCCCCAGUUCAGAUUGAAGGCUGCAACUCGCCUUCAUGAAGUUGGAAUCGCUAGUAAUCGCGGGUCAGCAACACCGCGGUGAAUGUGUUCCUGAGCCUUGUACACACCGCCCGUCAAGCCACGAAAGGGAGGGGCGCCCGAAGUCGCGAAUAGCGCCGAAGGCGAACUUCCUGAUUGGGACUAAGUCGGAACAAGGUA
rnacentral:rRNA from 1 species